rnacentral:rRNA from 1 species
GACGAACGCUGGCGGCGUGCUUAACACAUGCAAGUCGAACGAUGAAGAAAAGAAUUGAAGCUUCGGCAGAAAUUCAUUUCGGAUUAGUGGCAGACGGGUGAGUAACGCGUGAGCAACCUACCUCUUACAAAGGGAUAGCCUCGGGAAACCGGGAUUAAUACCAUAUAACAUUGCGACGAAGCAUUUCGAUGCGAUCAAAGCUACGGCGGUAAGAGAUGGGCUCGCGUCCCAUUAACCAGAUGGUGAGGUAACGGCUCACCAUAGUAACGAUGGGUAACCGGCCUGAGAGGGUGAACGGUCACACUGGAACUGAGACACGGUCCAGACUCCUACGGGAGGCAGCAGUGGGGAAUAUUGCACAAUGGAGGGAACUCUGAUGCAGCGACGCCGCGUGAGUGAUGAAGGAAUUCGUUUCGUAAAACUCUGUUCUAUGGGAAGAAAAGGACUGUACCAUAGGAGAAAGCUCCGGCUAAAUACGUG